AUUCCAUGGUGGGGGCAGUUCCUUAAUAACUCCUUAAAGCGCUUUAAAGCAUCAUACAAAGACUCUCUGUUAUUCUGAUGAAAAUUAUUAAUUUUACCGCUCAACUU